rnacentral:rRNA from 1 species
GAUGAACGCUGGCUACAGGCUUAACACAUGCAAGUCGAGGGGAAACGGCAUUGAGUGCUUGCACUGAAUGGACGCCGACCGGCGCACGGGUGAGUAACGCGUAUCCAACCUUCCCGUUACUGCGGGAUAACCUGCCGAAAGGCAGACUAAUACCGCAUGUUCUUCGAUGACGGCAUCAGAUUCGAAGCAAAGAUCCGUCGGUAACGGAGGGGGAUGCGUCUGAUUAGCUAGUUGGCGGGGCGACGGCCCACCAAGGCGACGAUCAGUAGGGGUUCUGAGAGGAAGGUCCCCAACAUUGGAACUGAGACACGGUCCAAACUCCUACGGGAGGCAGCAGUGAGGAAUAUUGGUCAAUGGGCGGAAGCCUGAACCAGCCAAGUAGCGUGCAGGAUGACGGCCCUACGGGUUGUAAACUGCUUUUAUGCGGGGAUAAAGUGAGGGACGCGUCCCUUUUUGCAGGUACCGCAUGAAUAAGGACCGGCUAAUUCCGUG